UACGAAGGGGGCUAGCGUUGUUCGGAAUUACUGGGCGUAAAGGGCGCGUAGGCGGCCAUUCAAGUUAGAAGUGAAAGCCCCGGGCUAAACCUGGGAAUUGCUUUUGAUACUGUAUGGCUUGAGUUCGGGAGAGGUGAGUGGAAUUCCCAGUGUAGAGGUGAAAUUCGUAGAUAUUGGGAAGAACACCAGUGGCGAAGGCGGCUCGCUGGACCGACACUGACGCUGAGGCGCGAAAGCGUGGGGAGCAAACAGG
rnacentral:rRNA from 1 species